UUGGGAGCUCACUGGCUUCGGAGUCAUGGGAACUCCGAAGUUAACUGAGUUUGGGCUAGAACAAUCCCAGGAUGGGUGACCCACUGAGAAGUUUCUCGUGAGUUCCCAGA
rnacentral:rRNA from 1 species